GGCAUGGGGGACCUGCACCUAACACAAAAGCAGCCCUGAAAGUACUGAGUCUGGGGGCAACCAGGUGAUAAAUUUCCAAAGAAAGCAGAAUUGCAAGGAAGCAAUGCCUAGCUGAGGAAUGUCCUAAAGGAAGAGGAGGAAGAAUUUGUGGUGAAUGCUGUCCUUCAGCUUGCCUCCUCUUCUUUCGAUAAGAACAAUUAUCAAUGAGAAGCAGUGAAAAUUGCAGAUAGCAUGUAAGACUGCAGGCAGGCAGAGUCCUGGGAGCACACGGGAAGGGAGGCAGACGUGUGCAUGCCUGUUGGGGCUGUUCUCUGCUGGAGAGAAGUGACGAUCAAAACUGCCUGUCUUUACUAACUCCCUGGUGAGCAGUAUGAUUUAAAAGUAUUCCUAAAGGAAUUAAAAAGAAUUGAAGACCAAUGAGUCUGACAUCUCUACCAGGCAAACUGGUGGAAACGAUGGCAAAAAAACGAAUCAAUAGGCAAAUAUGGUAGAGCACAAAGCUGUCAAGUCAGUGCAGCUCUUACAGACAGAAGUUGCCUCCCAGAUCUGUGGGAGACAAAUCCCAGCAAAGCACUCAACUUGCCCAGCUUUGUUACCAAUGUGACAACAGCCACCAGUGCAAUAAGACCAGGGAGGAGCACAGCAGGGACGUGGUCCCAGAAACCAAAGGGCUGCAGUGCAACGAAGGGAGGACACAGUGGCCAGGUUUGGUGACUGGUGCAAGUCUAGCAUUGAAAGUAGAUUGUAAGAGGAGGGUUCCCAACAGAAACUGGGAGCAGGACUGCAUAAUGAAGUUAUCACACAGACGUGACGAAAUAAUUAAAGGUCAAAGAGAUCAUGCUAAAAAACAGUAAACUCAGUUCUUGAGCCUCUUAAUGAGUUCUUAACUAUUCCAGUACCGCUGCCGCUCAUAUGCACAGGAGGAGGGUUUUACUUUAUAACAAUAAAUGAUUUACUGGCUAGCCUCCUCGACUACUCCUUAUUUGCCAUUUAAAUUAACGGCAUUUGUCUUUCCUUUAAAGAAAUGGUUAUUGCAGCUUUCCC